rnacentral:rRNA from 1 species
AUUGAACGCUGGCGGCAUGCCUUACACAUGCAAGUCGAACGGUAACGGGCCUUCGGGUGCCGACGAGUGGCGAACGGGUGAGUAAUACAUCGGAACGUGCCCGAUCGUGGGGGAUAACGAGGCGAAAGCUUUGCUAAUACCGCAUACGAUCUACGGAUGAAAGCAGGGGACCGCAAGGCCUUGCGCGGACGGAGCGGCCGAUGGCAGAUUAGGUAGUUGGUGGGAUAAAAGCUUACCAAGCCGACGAUCUGUAGCUGGUCUGAGAGGAUGAUCAGCCACACUGGGACUGAGACACGGCCCAGACUCCUACGGGAGGCAGCAGUGGGGAAUUUUGGACAAUGGGCGCAAGCCUGAUCCAGCCAUGCCGCGUGCAGGAUGAAGGCCUUCGGGUUGUAAACUACUUUUGUACGGAACGAAAAGCCUUCUUUUAAUACAGGAGGGUCAUGACGGUACCGUAAGAAUAAGCACCGGCUAACUACGUG